UUCUACAACCAUUUUACCUUGGCCUGUGAUCUCAUCAGAUUUCACAAGCUAAGCAGUGUCUGAUUGGAUCUGUAGUUGGAUAGGGGACCUCCAGGGAAAAGGCAGGUGCUGCAGGAA
ensembl:rRNA 5S_rRNA 5S ribosomal RNA